rnacentral:rRNA from 1 species
UACGUAGGUGGCAAGCGUUAUCCGGAUUUACUGGGUGUAAAGGGCGUGUAGGCGGGCUGGCAAGUCAGAUGUGAAAACCAUGGGCUCAACCCAUGGCCUGCAUUUGAAACUGUUGGUCUUGAGUGCUGGAGAGGCAAUCGGAAUUCCGUGUGUAGCGGUGAAAUGCGUAGAUAUACGGAGGAACACCAGUGGCGAAGGCGGAUUGCUGGACAGUAACUGACGCUGAGGCGCGAAAGCGUGGGGAGCAAACAGG